rnacentral:rRNA from 1 species
UACGUAGGUGGCAAGCGUUGUCCGGAAUUAUUGGGCGUAAAGCGCGCGCAGGCGGUCCCUUAAGUCUGAUGUGAAAGCCCACGGCUCAACCGUGGAGGGUCAUUGGAAACUGGGGGACUUGAGUACAGAAGAGGAAAGCGGAAUUCCACGUGUAGCGGUGAAAUGCGUAGAGAUGUGGAGGAACACCAGUGGCGAAGGCGGCUUCUGGUCUGUAACUGACGCUGAGGCGCGAAAGCGUGGGAGCAAACAGG